rnacentral:lncRNA from 1 species
GGACACUCAGGAGACUUUCACCCAGCCUGGAGGAGUCACAGAAGGCCUCUCAGGGGAGGUGACACCUGAGCUGAAUCUUAAAAGAUGAGUAACUGUUAUCUAGGUGAGGAAGACACGGAAGUGUUCCAGGCUGAGGGAGCUGCAUACUCAAAAGCUUGCAGUCAAGGAAGCCUGGCACAAGGCACUGAGACUGUGGGUAGUUAACUCUGGCUGGCCAGGAAGACAAAAGGACAGAAGCACAGAUACACCAGAAAGAAAACUGAUGCUUAAGAGGUGGAACAACUUUGCCACAUGUUUGGAAAGUGAGAAAUUCAGAAUUUGAAUCCCACGUGUCUGACUCCAGUUGAAAAGAGUUGAUGAACCUAAGUGAAGGGGAUCAGUGACAGUCCCUUCGGGAAUACUGUUUUUACAGGAUGGGUAGAGGAAGAGGUAACGACAAAGGAUGUUGAGAAGAGCAGUGAGAAAGGCAGGACAUAUGAUGGAAUCCCAGCCUCAGUGAGGGAGACAAGACUGUGGGAGACAAGAGAGUGGGCCGUGGGAAUCAAAGGAAGAGCAGUUUUAGGAGAAGGAGAGUCAAAGUACACCCUGGGAGGCUAAAUGAGCUAAGGUCAAGAAGGAAAAACUAUUCACUGAACACAGCAACCAGGAUGUUGGUGGCCUUGCUGAAAGCACAGGGCAGCCAGGCUGAAGUGAAUGGGUGUCGGUGAGGGGUGAGAAAGGUCAGUGCAGGUGCCUCUAACAAGAAGGUGGGCUUAAAGUGGGAGGGAGCAAUAGGGCAGUAGCUACAUAGAGAUGUAGGUACAAGGGAGAGCUUUCCUUGAAAAUGAAAGCGACAAGAAGGGAAAAGAGACAGCCAAGAGGCUGAGGUUGAUUUCUGGGAGAGGAGGUAAUUGAGGGAGUGAGAUGGUGGGGAACAAAGAUAGGGAAAGUCUGCAAGACAGGUGGAGAGAUUAACCUGAGAAAGUGGGCAGAGGCAGGAUGACAAGCACAGAUGGGGCCACACAUGAUUGAUAAUUAGGGGGCCAGAAAACCAAGGGAUUGCCUCCUAAUUCAUUGCACAAUGUGGGGAUGAAGAUAUCAGAUAAAUAUGGAUGGUAAAUGGAAGGAUUAUUUUGAUGGCUGCACAAUAUUACAUUGAGGGCACGGGGCAACGUUUAAUUCACCAUUCUCCUUCUGUUUGACAUUUAGAUUGCGUGUAUUUUUGCUGUUGUAGAUAACCCUACAAAG